CCGCAACUUGGCGAGAAUCCAUCGAACCUUAUCAUUUAGAGGAAGGAGAAGUCGUAACAAGGUUUCCGUAGGUGAACCUGCGGAAGGAUCAUUG
rnacentral:rRNA from 1 species